UAUGUACUUCCUCCGUUCAACAAAAGUUGUCUUAAAUUUGUCAAGAUUUGAAUGUAUCUAGACAUGACUUAGUGUAUAGAUGCAUUCAAAUUUAGUCAAAGUUGAGACAUCCUUUGUUGGACGGUGGAAGUAUUCG
rfam:Brachypodium distachyon strain Bd21 chromosome 3, whole genome shotgun sequence.